GGGGGGAGCAAGCGUUGUUCGGAUUCAUUGGGCGUAAAGAGCUCGUAGGUGGCUCUGUAAGUCGGUGGUGAAAGCCCACGGCUCAACCGUGGAUACGCCUCCGAAACUGUGGAGCUUGAGGCUGGGAGAGGAAAUCGGAAUUCCUGGUGUAGCGGUGAAAUGCGUAGAUAUCAGGAGGAACACCGGUGGCGAAGGCGGAUUUCUGGACCAGUUCUGACACUGAGGAGCGAAAGCCAGGGGAGCAAACAGGAUUAGAUACCCUGGUAGUCCUGGCUGUAAACGAUGGGCACUAGGUGUGGGGGGAUCGACCCCUUCCGUGCCGCAGUUAACGCAUUAAGUGCCCCGCCUGGGGAGUACGACCGCAAGGUUGAA
rnacentral:rRNA from 1 species